GACGAACGCUGGCGGCAUGCUUAACACACGCAAGUCGAGCGAGAAAGCGCCUUCGGGCGUGAGUACAGCGGCGAACGGGUGAGUAACACGUGGGCAACCUGCCCCGGAGACCGGGAUAACGUCUCGACAGGGACGCUAAUACCGGAUGAUGCGUGACCUGCCAAGUGGGUCACGCCAAAUGGUAGCCUAGGCCUCUGACCUGGGAUGGGCCCGCGCAGCAUUAGCUUGUUGGUGAGGUAACGGCUCACCAAGGCCGCGAUGCUUAGCUGGUCUGAGAGGACGAUCAGCCACACUGGGACUGAGACACGGCCCAGACUCCUACGGGAGGCAGCAGUAGGGAAUCUUCCACAAUGGGCGAAAGCCUGAUGGAGCAACGCCGCGUGAGUGAAGAAGGAUUUCGGUUCGUAAAACUCUGUUGUAAGGGAAGAACAAGUACAGUAGUAACUGGCUGUACCUUGACGGUACCUUAUUAGAAAGCCACGGCUAACUACGUGCCAGCCGCCGCCGUAAUAC
rnacentral:rRNA from 1 species